AUUGAACGCUGGCGGCAUGCUUUACACAUGCCAGUCGAACGGCAGCGGGGAGGUGCUUGCUUCUCUGCCGGCGAGUGGCGAACGGGUGAGUAAUACAUCGGAACGUGUCGAGAAGAGGGGGAUAACCACCCGAAAGGGUGGCUAAUACCGCAUAAAUUCUGAGGCAGAAAGCUGGGGACCUAGGAAUAGGCCUAGCGCUUUUUGAGCGGCCGAUGUCGGAUUAGCUAGUUGGUGAGGUAAAGGCUCACCAAGGCGAAGAUCUGUAGCGGGUCUGAGAGGAUGAUCCGCCACACUGGGACUGGGACACGGCCCAGACUCCUACGGGAGGCAGCAGUGGGGAAUUUUGGACAAUGGGGGCAACCCUGAUCCAGCCAUGCCGCGUGUAUGAAGAAGGCCUUAGGGUUGUAAAGUACUUUUGUUAGGGAAGAAAAGUCAGCUGUGAAUAAUGGCUGAUACUGACGGUACCUAAAGAAUAAGCACCGGCUAACUACGUG
rnacentral:rRNA from 1 species